GUGAUUCUCCUCUGCCUCCCCCCCAACCCAUUUUUAUUUUGCCUGCAUCUUAUUCUUUAGUGUGCAAAUGUGGUUGUGAAUUUUUUCCAGUGCAGGGGAAUUCAUUGGCCUUGUCAAUCUUGGUAUCAUUAUUUUUAGUAGUCUUCUUUCUGAGACCUUAGCCUAUAAAACAGUUUUGCUGAAACCCCAAACUCUCUAAAUAUUACAUGGCAAAUUUGCUUUCUUUUGGAAAUCUCGGUGCUGAUGGGCCAGCUGAAGUGCAGUGUCCAGUCUACCUCUUACCACAUAUCUACAAAAAUGAAUCUUCUUGCUGUAUCACCCAGCAACACUGUGUUUUGGGAGCCGGGACUUUCCUUUUUAACAUAAUCCCAUUCCCCAUUUUGUAGCAAAUCAGUCUGCUCCUCCUCUAGUAACUAAAAGUCAACAAAUACCUGCCUCAAGCCCCAGGUUUCCCAUCUUCUCCCAGAGGUCUCCCAGCAUUGGUUUGGUUAGCAAUUUCCUGCCACAGCCACCUACGUCUUGAUUAUUUGGUCAGUCUUUAGGGGAUUUCAUUUCAGAUCCCCUUCGAAAAAAAAACUGCAGCCCAACUGAUCCCAGGGGCCCGGUGAACUUUCAGUUUUAUUUUUCCCUGGCGGUGUUAACGCCCAAACUUUUCACCUCCAAAGUCGAAAAGGACUUUGACUCUAGCUCAUAUCCUACCAGCUCCAACGUCAGUUAAAAAAAAAAAACAACAACCCACUAAAAUACCACU